GGGUUGUGAGGUUAAGCGACUAAGCGUACACGGUGGAUGCCCCGGCAGUCAGAGGCGAUGAAGGACGUGCUAAUCUGCGAAAAGCGUCGGUAAGGUGAUAUGAACCGUUAUAGCCGGCGAUGUCCGAAUGGGGAAACCCAGUGCAAUUCGUUGCACUAUCGUUAACUGAAUACAUAGGUUAACGAGGCGAACCGGGGAACUGAAACAUCUAAGUACCCGAGGAAAAGAAAUCAACCGAGAUUCCCAGUAGCGGCGAGCGAACGGGGAGCAGCCCAGAGUCUGAAUCAGCUUGUGUGUUAGUGGAACGGUCUGGAAAGUCCGACGGUACAGGGUGAUAGUCCCGUACACCAAAAUGCACAGGCUGUGAACUCGAAGAGUAGGGCGGGACACGUGGUAUCCUGUCUGAAUAUGGGGGACCAUCCUCCAAGGCUAAAUACUCCUGACUGACCGAUAGUGAACCAGUACCGUGAGGGAAAGGCGAAAAGAACCCCGGCGAGGGGAGUGAAAAAGAACCUGAAACCGUGUACGUACAAGCAGUGGGAGCACCCUUUAGGGUGUGACUGCGUACCUUUGUAUAAUGGGUCAGCGACUUAUAUUCUGUAGCAAGGUUAACCGUAUAGGGGAGCCGCAGGGAAACCGAGUCUUAACUGGGCGUUAAGUUGCAGGGUAUAGACCCGAAACCCGGUGAUCUAGCCAUGGGCAGGUUGAAGGUUGGGUAACACUAACUGGAGGACCGAACCGACUAAUGUUGAAAAAUUAGCGGAUGACUUGUGGCUGGGGUGAAAGGCCAAUCAAACCGGGAGAUAGCUGGUUCUCCCGAAAGCUAUUUAGGUAGCGCCUCGUGAACUCAUCUUCGGGGUAGAGCACUGUUUCGGCUAGGGGUCAUCCCGACUUACCAACCCGAUGCAAACUACGAAUACCGAAGAAUGUUAUCACGGGAGACACACGGCGGGUGCUAACGUCCGUCGUGAAGAGGGAAACAACCCAGACCGCCAGCUAAGGUCCCAAAGUCAUGGUUAAGUGGGAAACGAUGUGGGAAGGCACAGACAGCCGGGAUGUUGGCUUAGAAGCAGCCAUCAUUUAAAGAAAGCGUAAUAGCUCACUGGUCGAGUCGGCCUGCGCGGAAGAUGUAACGGGGCUAAACCAUGCACCGAAGCUGCGGCAGCGACACUAUGUGUUGUUGGGUAGGGGAGCGUUCUGUAAGCCUGCGAAGGUGGCCUGUGAGGGUUGCUGGAGGUAUCAGAAGUGCGAAUGCUGACAUAAGUAACGAUAAAGCGGGUGAAAAGCCCGCUCGCCGGAAGACCAAGGGUUCCUGUCCAACGUUAAUCGGGGCAGGGUGAGUCGACCCCUAAGGCGAGGCCGAAAGGCGUAGUCGAUGGGAAACAGGUUAAUAUUCCUGUACUUGGUGUUACUGCGAAGGGGGACGGAGAAGGCUAUGUUAGCCGGGCGACGGUUGUCCCGGUUUAAGCAUGUAGGCGGAGGUUCAGGUAAAUCCGGUACCUUUUAACGCUGAGGUGUGAUGACGAGGCACUACGGUGCUGAAGUAACAAAUGCCCUGCUUCCGUGAAAAGCCUCUAAGCAUCAGGUAACAUCAAAUCGUACCCCAAACCGACACAGGUGGUCAGGUAGAGAAUACCAAGGCGCUUGAGAGAACUCGGGUGAAGGAACUAGGCAAAAUGGUGCCGUAACUUCGGGAGAAGGCACGCUGAUAUGUAGGUGAAGUCCCUGCGGAUGGAGCUGAAAUCAGUCGAAGAUACCAGCUGGCUGCAACUGUUUAUUAAAAACACAGCACUGUGCAAACACGAAAGUGGACGUAUACGGUGUGACGCCUGCCCGGUGCCGGAAGGUUAAUUGAUGGGGUUAUCCGUAAGGAGAAGCUCUUGAUCGAAGCCCCGGUAAACGGCGGCCGUAACUAUAACGGUCCUAAGGUAGCGAAAUUCCUUGUCGGGUAAGUUCCGACCUGCACGAAUGGCGUAAUGAUGGCGGGCUGUCUCCACCCGAGACUCAGUGAAAUUGAACUCGCUGUGAAGAUGCAGUGUACCCGCGGCAAGACGGAAAGACCCCGUGAACCUUUACUAUAGCUUGACACUGAACAUUGAGCCUUGAUGUGUAGGAUAGGUGGGAGGCUUUGAAGCGUGGACGCCAGUCUGCGUGGAGCCAACCUUGAAAUACCACCCUUUAAUGUUUGAUGUUCUAACGUAGACCCCUAAUCGGGGUUGCGGACAGUGUCUGGUGGGUAGUUUGACUGGGGCGGUCUCCUCCCAAAGAGUAACGGAGGAGCACGAAGGUUAGCUAAUCUGGUCGGACAUCAGGAGGUUAGUGCAAUGGCAUAAGCUAGCUUGACUGCGAGCGUGACGGCGCGAGCAGGUGCGAAAGCAGGUCAUAGUGAUCCGGUGGUUCUGAAUGGAAGGGCCAUCGCUCAACGGAUAAAAGGUACUCCGGGGAUAACAGGCUGAUACCGCCCAAGAGUUCAUAUCGACGGCGGUGUUUGGCACCUCGAUGUCGGCUCAUCACAUCCCGGGCUGAAGUAGGUCCCAAGGGUAUGGCUGUUCGCCAUUUAAAGUGGUACGCGAGCUGGGUUUAGAACGUCGUGAGACAGUUCGGUCCCUAUCUGCCGUGGGCGCUGGAGAAUUGAGGGGGCUGCUCCUAGUACGAGAGGACCGGAGUGGACGCAUCACUGGUGUUCGGGUUGUCAUGCCAAUGGCAUUGCCCGGUAGCUAAAUGCGGAAGAGAUAAGUGCUGAAAGAUCUAAGCACGAAACUUGCCCCGAGAUGAGUUCUCCCUGAGACUUUAAGUCUCCUGAAGGAACGUUGAAGACGACGACGUUGAUAGGCCGGGUGUGUAAGCGCAGCGAUGCGUUGAGCUAACCGGUACUAAUGAACCGUGAGGCUUAACCUUACAACGCCGAAGCUGUU
rnacentral:rRNA from 1 species